GACGAACGCUGGCGGCGUGCUUAACACAUGCAAGUCGAACGGAAAGGCCCUGCUUUUGUGGGUGCUCGAGUGGCGAACGGGUGAUUAACACCUGAUUAACCUUCCCUUUUCUUUUGUUUAACUUCUGGAAACUUGGGCUAAUACCGGUUAGGAGCUCCUUCUGCAUGGUUGGUGUUGGAAAGUUUCGGCGGUUGGGGAUGGACUCGCGGCUUAUCAGCUUGUUGGUGGGGUAGUUGCUUACCAAGGCUUUGACGGGUAGCCGGCCUGAGAGGGUGACCGGCAACAUUGGGACUGAGAUACGGCGCAGAAGGCUACGGGAGGCAGCAGUGGGGAAUAUUGCACAAUGGGCGGAAGCAUGAUGCAGAAACGCCGGGAGCGGGAUGAAGGGCUUCGGGUUGUAAACAGAUUUAGAAUGAGAAGAAGAGUGAGUGACGGUAAUGGGUAAAGAAGCAACGGCUAACUACGUG
rnacentral:rRNA from 1 species